UACAGAGGGUGCAAGCGUUGUUCGGAAUUAUUGGGCGUAAAGCGCGUGUAGGCGGUGAUGCAUGUCGGGUGUGAAAGCCCUCAGCUUAACUGAAAAAAUACGCCCGAAACUGCAUCGCUGGAGUGUCGGAGAGGAAGGCGGAAUUCCCGGUGUAGAGGUGAAAUUCGUAGAUAUCGGGAGGAACACCAGUGGCGAAGGCGGCCUUCUGGACGAACACUGACGCUGAGACGCGAAAGCGUGGGGAGCGAACAGG
rnacentral:rRNA from 1 species